CUUGCUUUCUUUGCUGGCGACCGGCGCACGGGUGAGUAACACGUAUCCAACCUGCCCUUUACUCGGGGAUAGCCUUUCGAAAGAAAGAUUAAUACCCGAUAGCAUAAUGAUUCCGCAUGGUUUCAUUAUUAAAGGAUUCCGGUAAAGGAUGGGGAUGCGUUCCAUUAGGUUGUUGGUGAGGUAACGGCUCACCAAGCCUUCGAUGGAUAGGGGUUCUGAGAGGAAGGUCCCCCACAUUGGAACUGAGACACGGUCCAAACUCCUACGGGAGGCAGCAGUGAGGAAUAUUGGUCAAUGGGCGUUAGCCUGAACCAGCCAAGUAGCGUGAAGGAUGAAGGCUCUAUGGGUCGUAAACUUCUUUUAUAUAAGAAUAAAGUGCAGUAUGUAUACUGUUUUGUAUGUAUUAUAUGAAUAAGGAUCGGCUAACUCCGUGCCAGCAGCCGCGGUAAUACGGAGGAUCCGAGCGUUAUCCGGAUUUAUUGGGUUUAAAGGGAGCGUAGGUGGACUGGUAAGUCAGUUGUGAAAGUUUGCGGCUCAACCGUAAAAUUGCAGUUGAUACUGUCAGUCUUGAGUACAGUAGAGGUGGGCGGAAUUCGUGGUGUAGCGGUGAAAUGCUUAGAUAUCACGAAGAACUCCGAUUGCGAAGGCAGCUCACUGGACUGCA
rnacentral:rRNA from 1 species